rnacentral:rRNA from 1 species
CUGCUGCCUUCCGUAGGAGUUUGGACCGUGUCUCAGUUCCAAUGUGGGGGACCUUCCUCUCAGAGCCCCUACGCAUCGUCGGCUUGGUGGGCCGUUGCCCCACCAACUACCUAAUGCGCCGCAUGCCCAUCCAUGACCGGGGUCGCCCCCUUUGACCGGCAGGGGAUGUCCCCUCCCGGCAUUAUGUUGUAUUAGGCGGGAUUUCUCCCGGUUAUCCAUCUGUCACGGCCAGGUUGCAUACGUGUUACUCACCCGUGCGCCGGUCG